CUCUCCCCCUCUCCUUCUCUCUCCCUCUCUCUCCCUCCCUCCCUCUCUCCCCCUCUCCUUCUCUCUCCCUCUCUCUCCCUCCAUCUCCCUCUCUGUCCCUCUGUCCCUCUCCCUCUCUCUCUCCGUCUCUCCCAUCCUCACUAUGUGACAUACCUGCUCCCCUUUGCCUUCUGCCAUGAUCAGAAGCUCCCUGAGGCCUCCCCAGAAGCAGAUGCCACCAUGCUUCCAGUACAGCCUGCAGAACUGUGAGCCAAUUAAGCCUCUUUUCUUACAAAUUACCCAGCCUUGGGUAUUACUCUACAGCCAUGCGAGAAUGGCCUAACACAGGUGGUAAGAGAAGUCCGUGUGGGGGUGUCGGGAGGCUGGGAACAGCGGCACCACUGGAUGGUUCGAUGGGCCGGUGCGUCCUGGGAGGUCCUGAGCCAUCUGACUAUGGAGUCAGUGAUGGAAACCACGGGGGAAAGGAAAGGUCAGAGUGAGCCCGCAGAAGGGAGAGCCUCUUCAUGACAGGUCCGUGAGGUGAUUCGGACGCACAGGGGUAGGACAAGGGAUUCUCUUCAGUGAAAACUACUUUGUGAGGCCUUAACGCCAUUUCUCUUGUACAGAUGGGGGUCUGAGGAACCAAGUGCUCCGCCUGAACGAGGACGACCUGGAGAGGUCUGUUGCCUGAAUGAGAGUCACUGAGUUUACACUGCAGGAGAGCAGCUCCCAAGACCAAGGCCCUGCGAUUCCCAGAGGCCGUCGGACUGCCGCAUCCCUUGGCGUGAACGGUGGGCGUGGAGAAGGACCCAGAGUCUGGAGCCUACAUCCUGGAGGACUGUGGCCCUGAACUUUGGUUAAACACAAACAAGCCCCAAGAAAAGGGAAAACGAAAACCAGAGGCACUGGAGGAAUCACAACAAAAAGCACCUUGAGAAGCACCUACAAGUCAGCAGCGCAGUGUGGCCAGCUCCCUGCCUCAAGCACCAGGCGGCCGGCUCCCUGCCUCAAGCACCAGGCAGGCUAACCCAGGUUCUGAGAGGGGGCAGGUCAACACUGGAUAAAAUAAACUCCAGGAGGCCGGGCACAGUGGCUUACGCCUGUGAUCCCAGCACUUUGGGAGGCCGAGGCGGGCGGAUCACUCAAGGUCAGGAGCUCAAGACCAGCCUGGCCAACAUGGUGAAACCCCAUCUCUACUAAAAUACAAAAAUUAGCCAGGUGUGGUGGUGGGCACCUGUAAUCCCAGCUACUCGGGAGACUGAGGCAGGAGAAUCACCUGAACCCAGGAGGCAGAGGUUGCAGUGAGCCGAGAUCGUACCAUUGCACUCUAGCCUAGGUGACAGAGCAAGACUCCAUCUCAAAAAAAAAAAAAAAAAAGGAAACUCAAGGAAAGGAAA